AGCUCGGUGUGGAGUUUCUUAC
rnacentral:miRNA from 1 species